rnacentral:rRNA from 1 species
CCUACGGGAGGCAGCAGUGAGGAAUAUUGGUCAAUGGACGAGAGUCUGAACCAGCCAAGUAGCGUGAAGGAUGACUGCCCUAUGGGUUGUAAACUUCUUUUAUAUGGGAAUAAAAUGUUCCACGUGUGGGGUUUGUAUGUACCAUAUGAAUAAGCAUCGGCUAACUCCGUGCCAGCAGCCGCGGUAAUACGGAGGAUCCGAGCGUUAUCCGGAUUUAUUGGGUUUAAAGGGAGCGUAGGUGGAUUGUUAAGUCAGUUGUGAAAGUUUGCGGCUCAACCGUAAAAUUGCAGUUGAAACUGGCAGUCUUGAGUACAGGAGAGGUGGGCGGAAUUCGCGGUGUAGCGGUGAAAUGCUUAGAUAUCACGAAGAACUCCGAUUGCGAAGGCAGCUCACUGGACUGCAACUGACACUGAGGCUCGAAAGUGUGGGUAUCAAACAGGAUUAGAUACCCGGGUAGUC